UCGUUCUCUCUAGUCAAGUGCGCUCUCUCUCUCUCUCGCUCUCGCUCUCGCUCGCUCUCUUUGUAUGUCUCUUGCGUUUCGACGCUGGGUUUUCAAAGGGAUCGGUCGCAUGCGUGGGGCUUGUGGUUUCUGCCAGUAAUGAAGUUUUGAAGGAGGAGGAUGCAGGGUACCAUAUGUUUCAAGUAGAGGCAGAGCAGCCGGUAGAAUGCGGCGAACCUUUCCGCCUUCAGAGACCCCAUUGCUGGGUUCCUUGGGUUUGCGAAUCCCAGGAAUCUGUUGUCCAAUCUCUCGCAACAACGAAGCCCUUCCAAGAUCGUCCGAUCGGCAGCCUUAAACCUUCUCAAGCAUCAGACGUUCACCUUCUUUGCAUCUAUCGAGUAGUGUGAUUUUCUGGUAUCGCUCAUGUUUAUCUGCAUUGAACUAUUGGAUGUUGCUGGUCCCAUGCAAUCUGAUUUAUCAUCCUGAAUGCAAAUCUUACCUUGAUAAUGGCCUUCUACAAUCACAAGACUAAACCUAGAUGUAUCACAGAUGUUGUGGUGUAAUCAAGUGGAAAGUUGCUCUUAUUUUAUAAGAAAGGAGUUGCUAGUAGACAGGGACUUGUCAUACAACAGCUUCACAAACAUUUCUAAUGCAGCAAUUUCUUGUGUGCAACCUGUAAGGGCCCCCAUACAGUCUCAUGUUUUUUCAUCCAUUAUGUUCCUCAAUGUCGCCGACAAUCACCAUUACCAUUCUUGAGCAACCUAGUUAAAAAGUGUAAUGGUGCAGGAAAAAGAUAACGUCAUGCAUUAUUUCUUGAAAGAAUGCAGCGGUGGUAGUAAACCAAAAUAUAAGUAGCCGGAAUCCUGUUACUAAUGCAAAGUCGAUAUAUGAGGUGGACAAUGCUAUAGAUGGUACUGCAUUUUUCGUCACAUAGAAAGGCAUCUGGCAAUUGAUGGAAGAUGACAGUGACAAUGAUAAGUACAUUGUUGAGGGUAAGCCACUUCCUGUGCCUCUAGCAGAAGCUAAAUUAUACAGUACCAUCCGUCGCUCAAAUACUAUUGUGCCUCUAUAACAGGUCUUAAAACUCUAAUUUGCUGAGAUAAUUAUAACUGAUAAUAAGAAUUUUAGCAGCUAGGGAAACCAUAUUCUCAUGUGUAUAUUCAGGUAAAGGCUCAAUUAUCGGGAAAACUAUACAAUGUUAACAGGCCAUCUUCGAAAUCCAGUGGUAGCUCAAAAAUAAGGAUUUCGAUGUAAAAAAAACCCUCUGAUAUGUCUGUUCCCUUUGGAUUUCAUUAGCGUGAACGUGUUAAAUAAUACACUGGAAAUUCACUUCUUUUGAGAUAGAAAGGGCAGUACAGGGAUUCCAGAAAAAGUAGUAAAUGGUCUUCAUAUGUUAGCUAUUUCUUUUGAAGCUGGUUGGCCUCUUUUCUUCAGUGUGGAUAUCAAAUCCUGCCAACAGUAAAGCACAAUUUGGAGUCGCGACUAUUCUAGUUCUACAAUCUUGUCCAUGUUUCACAAGUGCAUGGACGUGAGAGAGAGAGAAAGAUUUUUAAAUCUUUUUUUAUUGUUGAGCUCAUUAUGUUUUAAACCAUAUGAUAUGGUCGUUUUAUUGGUCUAUCCUGUACGUGAG